UGUUAAUAGUUGCUGUCCAUGGUUUGUGAUUUCUCCAAAUGUAGUCCCUCUGCGGUUAAUUUAACUACACUCCUAUAAACUUAGCACGGUGUCGUCAGAUCACGUAGCAGACACGCAAAUAAACAUGGCAAGGAACUACAAUUAUGGCGAAGUUUAUUAUAGCAUGCUAUAAAAGCCCAUAGACUAGAAGUAACGCAAUAAGAGACUUAAAAGCUGAUUUAGGCUAGGUUAAGAAGUUCUAGCACAAGGGAAAAGCGACAAGCACAAGUUAAAUACACUAAGGCAGGAAUUAAAGCCUUCUAGAUGUAUGGUGCCUUCCAACACUACUGGCUCCUGCAAUACCCAAGUUUGAUCUUAUAAUUUUAUACAGCCCGAAUAAAACCCAAUAACUUCAUUCAAAAGAAAACAUUAGGCAAAAGGAUUCUUUAAACCAAAAGAUUUAUUGAAGACAUGAACAAAAGCACGCUGAGCUGACAGUUCACAUGGUCAUCAAGACCAGGAUGCUUCUGCAGAACCAGGUGAUGGAAAACCAAAUCCUCGUUCAGAAGAAAGCAGGCCUCACAGAUGGUGGAUGAGUGGAGCUUCAGUUGGGCUUCCAGCAGACUCUUGCUGAGGAGAUUGAAGUGGAGGAGCACUCUCAGCUUCAGCAAACAGGGUCCAGUUUACUUUGACCUCUGCCUCAUCUUUCUCCUUUUACGCUUCAGCCUUAAACGAACAAAAACAUGAUUCAAUCACUUCAAGCCCAUUCCAAAGGGACAGACCAGAAGAUGCAGCUCUGAUAUAGUUACACAUUUACCUGCGCAUGCGCUUCUUUCGCCACUGCAAGAAAGGUAAAAACAUUAAUAAACUGGGAUUAGGCAGUUAAAAACCAUUGUAAUUUAUUAAACCCACACAUGCGCAUUCGCAACUGGCGCUAUCGGCUGCAUUUUCACCAUGCAGCAUGGCCGCUCGCGCGGAAUAUUUAAGAAACAAAAAGGCGAUAAGAUCAACGUUUAUAAACCACUUUACCAACGUAAAUAAGCAAACAAUAAAAAGGGCAAAAAACAAUAUGCAGUGACUGCAAGUUCAAUCUGGUAACAAUAUCCUCUGCGACAGUGUGUUAGCAGGCUAGCACAGUAGGCCCGAGUACGUUAUAUAACACUACAAAAUACCACACUAAACCUCUCAGUUAAGUGACCAUUCUACAUGGUUAAAAGUAAGCUUACAGUAAAAUAUUCAGUUAAACAACAAACAGUAGCGUAAUUUACACUAUAUUAUCCCUGAAGAUGCUAGCAAGACUAGCCAGAUAAUGAGACACUCGAUUACACUUAUAUAAGAAAAAUGUACUUACCUUCGCUCUCAUGAUGAGAAGAUGGUUCUGUAAAUAAACAAACAAUGUUAGAGUUGUCGAUGGAUGAUGUGUAAAUGUCUUAGAUUGCUAUGGAUUGUAUGAGAGGGUAACGCUGUGUGCUCACCUCGUCAAGCGAUAGCAACGACUCAAGAGAACGUCAUGCGGGGGACGGGCUCUUUUAUACGCUCCGGUUGCGUCAUUUUUCAGCGACUACAAAAAGCAACGCGUGCUACACCUGUCAGUAAUUUUCCAUUUUUAUCAAACUUAUACAGUGGUCAGGAUUUUUCAGUGUGUUCACAAUGUGCUUUGACUGAUUUUUUAAGUUAUUUAUGUGACGCGCUUAAGCAGUGUUUACGGUACAUGGCCUGAAAUAAAAAG
ensembl:lncRNA